rnacentral:rRNA from 1 species
CACCAGACUCCUACGGGAGGCAGCAGUGGGGAAUAUUGCACAAUGGGGGAAACCCUGAUGCAGCGACGCCGCGUGAGUGAAGAAGUAUUUCGGUAUGUAAAGCUCUAUCAGCAGGGAAGAAAAUGACGGUACCUGACUAAGAAGCCCCGGCUAACUACGUGCCAGCAGCCGCGGUAAUACGUAGGGGGCAAGCGUUAUCCGGAUUUACUGGGUGUAAAGGGAGCGUAGACGGCAUGGCAAGUCAGAUGUGAAAGCCCGCGGCCCAACCGCGGGACUGCAUUGGGAACUGGCGCGCUGGAGUGCCGGAGGGGUAGGCGGAAUUCCUAGUGUAGCGGUGAAAUGCGUAGAUAUUAGGAGGAACACCAGUGGCGAAGGCGGCCUACUGGACGGUGACUGACGCUGAGGCUCGAAAGCGUGGGGAGCAAACAGGAUUAGAUACCCCGGUACA